rnacentral:tRNA from 1 species
GGCGCGUUCGUCUAGCGGUUAGGACGCCGGCCUCUCACGCCGGUAACACGGGUUCGAUUCCCGUACGCGCUACAA